UCGCCUGUUUAUCAAAAACAUGGCUCCUUGAAAAAUUGUAUAUGGGGAGUCGGACCUGCCCGGUGACUAGAAUGUUAAACGGCCGCGGUACCCUAACCGUGCAAAGGUAGCAUAAUCAUUUGCCUUUUAAUUGGAGGCUGGUAUGAAUGGUUUGACGAGAGCUAAGCUGUCUCUUUAGAAAUAUUUAAAAAUUAACUUUUGGGUGAAGAGGCCCAAGUAAGGCUGAGGGACAAGAAGACCCUGUUGAGCUUUAGUGUAAUAAUAAGUUGUAUAAGUUAAAUAAGAAUGUAGGAAUUUUAUAUUGCAAGUUUAACUUGAUUUAUUAAAUUAUAAUUUUAUUUUAUUAUUAAUCUUUAGUUGGGGCGACUAAGGAACAAUAAGAGCUUCCUUUUACUGAGUAGGUAGCUGGCAUUGGAUGUUUGCAAAUUUAUUGGCAAAUUACAUGAGAUCCAGUAUUGUACUGAUUAAAGGAAUAAGUUACCACAGGGAUAACAGCGUAAUCUUUCUGGAGAGAUCAUAUCGAAAGAAGGGUUUGCGACCUCGAUGUUGGACUAAGAUAUCCUAAGGGUGUAGAAGCUCUUGAUGGUUGGUCUGUUCGACCAUUAAAAUCUUACGUGAUCUGAGUUCAGACCGG
rnacentral:rRNA from 1 species